rnacentral:rRNA from 1 species
UAGGGAAUAUUGGUCAAUGGAAGGAAUUCUGAACCAGCCAUGCCGCGUGCAGGAAGACGGCCCUCUGGGUUGUAAACUGCUUUUGGAAGGGAAGAAAUACACUAUGCGUAGUGGGUUGACGGUACCUUCAGAAUAAGCAUCGGCUAACUACGUGCCAGCAGCCGCGGUAAUACGUAGGAUGCAAGCGUUGUCCGGAUUUAUUGGGUUUAAAGGGUGCGUAGGCGGUUUAAUAAGUCAGGGGUAAAAGUCAGCAGCUUAACUGUUGAAGUGCCUUUGAUACUGUUAGACUAGAGUAAUGAGGAGGUAGUUGGAAUUUGUAGUGUAGCGGUGAAAUGCAUAGAUACUACAAAGAACACCGAUAGCGAAGGCAGAUUACUAUCCAUUAACUGACGCUGAGGCA